UUUACCUGUAGGCUGGAAGAUUUAUGGCUUAAUGACAACCAGAUAGAAAUACUUGAAGCUAUCACAGAAGCUGUUGAAGGCUCUAAAGCUAACAGCUUUCCCGGAUUCUCCAUAAAAUGGAUGCUAAUGUAACUGCAAACUGUGUUCAUCCUGGAAUCGUGAGAACGCGUCUCACAAGAGACCGAGACGGCCUCAUCACUGAUUUUGUCUUUUUCUUGACCUCUAAGCUUUUGAAGUCCGUUCCUCAGGCAGCAGCAACGACAUGCUGCCUAGCAACGAGUCCGAGAUUGAGGAACGUGUGCGGCAAAUACUUUUCAGACUGUAAUGAAGCUCGGACUUCUAAUCCGGAUCGUGCAAUCUUAAAGCUCAGAGACUGUGGACUGCUUCUGAGUUGUUGGUCACUCCAGCUUCCACUCCCGAUGUUUAUCAAACCUUUAACUACUUUUUAACCAACGAUGCUAUGUAUGUGUAAAGCCUUUCCAAGCUUCUUGGUUGUGAAAUGUUUUAGAUCAUUUGGAGGAGUAAUAAAGUUUAUAUGUUAUCACUAA